ensembl:lncRNA
AACCUGAGACCUUCGCUCAUAGCCUGAGACACCACGCUGACUAACGCCGCGCAGCUUACCCCUGAACGCAUGCCCACACGUCAGAGCUGAGAGCAUCCACUGGCGCAUUUUCCUCUGCCUUCUUUCUCAGAUACUUAGGAGAGCUCCAGCUUCUCACAAAGCUGAAGUCAUCUAAUUUUCUGGAUCAAAGUGUCUCCUGUUUUUGUUGUAAUGAAGCAAUUUGACACUUUCAGUAAUAUAAACAUUCCCAGCCCUAAUUAAAAGGGCAGCUGUUUUCAAUAUUUCCAGGAAGCUUUUCCAGAUUAGCACAAGAAUAUGGCCAAAAGCACAGGACACCAGAGGGUGGGAAUACUCCCUCCCAGCAAGGCUCUUUAUCUGCUCCACUUUCGCACCCCCUGCUCCAUACCAACGGGGGAGCUACAAAAGCCCUCAUUUUGUGCUUUCAGCAGUGUUAGCAGAGGCUGAUCACCAGCAUGUAACCAGUGGGUGCCUUCAGCCUCCUCAGGUGGUGCGGGGGCACCCAGUGCCCGUCUGGGUUUGCAGCAUUGCUCCUACCCUGAGCCCUGGCACCAGCCCCAAAGACACAGCCCAGACCCAGCUGCCCUGGGGCUGCAACCAAGGCAGAAGGGACGGCUAUGGACUUCCCAAAGUGACAACAGAGACGAUUUGGUGCAUGAACACGUUUCUGCACUGAUGUGCUGGGGAGCCUCAUUGGAGAGAGUUUGGAAAACAUGAUCAGCAUGAGCUGGCGGCUGGCCUCCACUGCAGGAGAUGGGGAAGGAGUGCUCAUGCUGCCGGAGAUGCCACCAGCACCAGCCCUGGCCACAUGUAAGGCCAGACAGAGAAGAGUGUCUUGUACAGCAGCUUUUGGAGGUGAUGGAUUCUCUCCCUGCACACCCAGCUGAACCUGCAGCACACCCAGACCAGACAAAGCUGCGAGAAGCCAAAACAGAGCUCGACAGCGAGUUACCGGCUGGGGGCUGACAUGUGUACCUCUGCAAAGAGCCCAGCAACAGUUGGUUUGGGGAUGACCUCUGGGAGCUGCGGUUGUGGGGAGCUCGGUUGUUCUGUAUUGGGGUCGUGUCCAUCUUGCAGAGAGCAGGGAGAUGGGCAAAGCUCCAGCCCAACCCUGCAACAAGGACAAGGAUGCUGGAUCCCAUGUCUGGCCAGAAAAGGGCUGGACCCAAGCUCCAGUGUCAGUGGGCUCUGCCUCGUGCCUGCCUCUCAGCUGAGGCUGCGGCACAGAACAGCAAUUUAUUCAUUUUGUCUCCUGAACAAGUAUUAAGAUGAAUAUCAAAACAUAAUUGUCUCAACAAUCUUUAGGCUUUUACUUAUCAGUAGAUGAUAAGGCUAUAUAGCAAUACGUUCAUUUGUCUGUAGAUCUCUGUAAUCCUAUUAAGUACCGAGUGAUAACUAUUAAACUGUGUAUAUACCCCCCACACACACAUCUGUUGAGGAACGCAUUUAACGCACACACACACACACACACACACACACACACACUCAAAAAAAUUUACCACUGCACAGAGAGGGCAGGUGGCACUGUGUGGACAUCUUCCACAUAAGCUGCCUCAACUAGCACCAGCUCACACAGAAUCAAAGACACAUCCUAG